rnacentral:rRNA from 1 species
UAAUUCUCUUAUUAUUUUUAUUUACUUAUUUUUAGUUAAUAAUUUUUAGUAUGAAAUAUUUAAAGGGAUGAGCUUUUAAUUAUAUUAUUAAAAAUUUUUAUUUUGUUUAUUUUUGUAUAAUUUGUAUUGUUAAUCAUAUGAAUAAUUUAAUAGUUAAUUUUAUUUUAUUUAAAAUUUGUAUUAAUUUUAAUUUUUAUAUUAAAAAAUUUUGUUUAAUAUUUUUUCUUAAGUUAUAAUGAUUAAAUUAGUAGAUAAAUUUGUAAAUAUUUUUUUAUUUUUAGAUAAUAAGAAGGAAUUCGGCAAAUAUAUUUUUCGCCUGUUUAUUAAAAACAUGUUUUUUUGAUAAUAAUUUAAAAUUUAAUCUGCUCAAUGAUUAUUUAAAUUGCCGCAGUAUUUUAACUGUGCAAAGGUAGCAUAAUAAUUAGCUUUUUUAUUGGAAGCUGGAAUGAAUGAUUGGACGAGAAAAUUUCUGUCUCUUUAUUAAUUUUAUUUAAUUUUACUUUUAAGUUAAAAGGCUUAAAUUUUUUUAAAAGACGAGAAGACCCUAUAGAGUUUAAUUUAUUGAAGAUUAUUUUUUAUUGGUAUUUUUAAAUUUAUUUUUUAAUAAAUUUAGUUGGGGUGACUAAAAGAUUAAUUAAACUCUUUUAAUUUUAAUCAAUUGUAUUUGAAUAUAAAAUCUAUAUUUUUAAAUUUAAAAUAAAUUACCUUAGGGAUAACAGCGUAAUUUUUUUUUAAAGUUCAUAUUAAAAGAAAAGUUUGCGACCUCGAUGUUGGAUUAAAAUUUAUUUUAGGUGUAGAAGCUUAAAAAUUGAGUCUGUUCGA